ensembl:lncRNA
UCCUUACUCUCCUGAUGACCAGGCAGGUGCCAACCAACACAGUUCUGCAGUGGGUCUUUUUAGCCUGACCACAAACUGCUCCUAGCUUCUCCUUUGCACUUUUUUACUCAAGGCAGUAUUUUCCUGUGAUUUGAUUGUAUUUUAGAACAUCAACAUAAUCUGAUCAAAUCCCUUUUCAUUGACAGAUCUUUUCUCUCAGAUAACCAGAUCUUCAUACCACUUUCAAAUGUGGAUGAAUGCUUCCUAAUCUGGGAGGAUAUUCUAAGCAUAAAUUUAUUAACAGAUAAAUGAAUUGCAGGAGAACAAAAAAAAAAAAGGAUUAUAUUGAUGUUUAUGGUGGCAGGUACUCCAUUUUAG